GCCCGGAUUGCUGGGUGGAUUAGUGGCGAACGGGUGAGUAACACGUGAGUAACCUGCCCUUAACUCUGGGAUAAGCCUGGGAAACUGGGUCUAAUACCGGAUAGGAGCGCCCACCGCAUGGUGGGUGUUGGAAAGAUUUAUCGGUUUUGGAUGGACUCGCGGCCUAUCAGCUUGUUGGUGAGGUAAUGGCUCACCAAGGCGACGACGGGUAGCCGGCCUGAGAGGGUGACCGGCCACACUGGGACUGAGACACGGCCCAGACUCCUACGGGAGGCAGCAGUGGGGAAUAUUGCACAAUGGGCGAAAGCCUGAUGCAGCGACGCCGCGUGAGGGAUGACGGCCUUCGGGUUGUAAACCUCUUUCAGUAGGGAAGAAGCGAAAGUGACGGUACCUGCAGAAGAAGCACCGGCUAACUACGUGCCAGCAGCCGCGGUAAUACGUAGGGUGCGAGCGUUAUCCGGAAUUAUUGGGCGUAAAGAGCUCGUAGGCGGUUUGUCGCGUCUGUCGUGAAAGUCCGGGGCUUAACCCCGGAUCUGCGGUGGGUACGGGCAGACUAGAGUGCAGUAGGGGAGACUGGAAUUCCUGGUGUAGCGGUGGAAUG
rnacentral:rRNA from 1 species